GCCUGGGUGGCUCAGUCGGUUGAGCGUAUGACUUCGGCUCAGGUCAUGAUCUCGCAGUCAGUCUGUGGGUUCGAGCCCCGCAUCGGGCU
rnacentral:tRNA from 1 species